UUCGACGGAUAAGACAUAAAUGCGUUUUUCAAUAGUCAGUUAAAAUUUAUUCCAAGAAUAAUUUCACUAACAGAGGAAUUAAUUUAUCUGGCUAUUCGUUUGCCAGAUAACAGCCGGAUAGCGAUUGGGACUGACUUUUUGACGUUUCUAUUAUUUGAAAACAAUUCAUUAACACCCCGUUUGUGCUGAAACUACUACCGCCUUCUUAUAUUAUGAAAUUAAGCGACAUUUUCAACGAUUUUUUUCUUGAAGAGGAGCAGGAAAUGUUUGAAAACCUCAGGAAGGAAAGAGUAGUGAAACAAAGACCCGACCUUUUCGUUGAUUGGGAAUGCAUGGAGUUCUUCAGAAGAUUCCGGAUGACAAAAAGUACGGCUCAGUAUUUGUUUACCAGGAUUGAAGAUAAAUUGAAAUAUCCCACGUACAGAGACCAAGCGGGAGCUUUUACAUAACUAUAGGAUACUUUUCGAAUUUACAUAAGUCCACAAUAUGGCGAAUCAUUAGAAGGGUGACUCAAGCAAUCGCAUCGCUAAGACCACAAUUUAUUAAAUUGCCAUGUAAUGCAGAUAUUUUAAAAAUACAAGAAGAAUUUUAUGAUAUCGCACGAUUCCCACGAGUAAUUGCUGCCAUGGAUUGUACACAUGUGCGGAUAGUCUCUCCAGGUGGAAACACAGCUGAAAACUUCAGAAAUAGAAAAGGAUAUUUUUCUAUUAAUGUUCAAGCUAUGUGCACCGUCAAAUUGAAAUUUCAAAACAUAGUCGCGAGAUGG